UGGGGAAUUUUGGACAAUGGGGGCAACCCUGAUCCAGCAAUGCCGCGUGAGUGAAGAAGGCCUUCGGGUUGUAAAGCUCUUUUGUCAGGGAAGAAACGGUAGUAGCGAAUAACUAUUACUAAUGACGGUACCUGAAGAAUAAGCACCGGCUAACUACGUGCCAGCAGCCGCGGUAAUACGUAGGGUGCCAGCGUUAAUCGGAAUUACUGGGCGUAAAGCGUGCGCAGGCGGUUGUGUAAGUCAGAUGUGAAAUCCCCGGGCUCAACCUGGGAAUUGCAUUUGAGACUGCACGGCUAGAGUGUGUCAGAGGGGGGUAGAAUUCCACGUGUAGCAGUGAAAUGCGUAGAUAUGUGGAGGAAUACCGAUGGCGAAGGCAGCCCCCUGGGAUAACACUGACGCUCAUGCACGAAAGCGUGGGGAGCAAACAGGAUUAGAUACCCUAGUAGUCCCUGAGCGGGCUGGCAAGGCGCAU
rnacentral:rRNA from 1 species